UACAGAGGGUGCGAGCGUUAAUCGGAAUUACUGGGCGUAAAGGGUGCGUAGGUGGUUAUGUAAGUUAGGUGUGAAAUUCCUGGGCUUAACCUGGGGACUGCGCCUGAUACUGUGUAGCUAGAGUACUGUAGAGGAAAGUGGAAUUUCCGGUGUAGCGGUGAAAUGCGUAGAUAUCGGAAGGAACACCAGUGGCGAAAGCGGCUUCCUGGUCCAGCACCGACGUUCAGGCACGAAAGCGUGGGGAGCAAACAGG
rnacentral:rRNA from 1 species